rnacentral:rRNA from 1 species
AAGGAUCAUUAGUGAAUAUAGGAUGUCCAACUUAACUUGGAGUCCGAACUCUCACUUUCUAACCCUGUGCAUUUGUUUGGGAUAGUAGCCUCUCGGGGUGAACUCCUAUUCACUUAUAAACACAAAGUCUAUGAAUGUAUUUAAUUUAUAACAAAAUAAAACUUUCAACAACGGAUCUCUUGGCUCUCGCAUCGAUGAAGAACGCAGCGAAAUGCGAUAAGUAAUGUGAAUUGCAGAAUUCAGUGAAUCAUCGAAUCUUUGAACGCACCUUGCGCUCCAUGGUAUUCCGUGGAGCAUGCCUGUUUGAGUGUCAUGAAUACUUCAACCCUCCUCUUUUCUAGUGAAAGAGAAGGUGCUUGGUUUCUGAGCGUUUUGCUGGCCUCACGGUCGAGCUCGCUCGUAAUGCAUUAGCAUCCGCAAUCGAACUUCGGAUUGACUUGGCGUAAUAGACUAUUCGCUGAGGAAUUCUAAUCUUCGGAUUAGAGCCGGGUUAGGUUAAAGGAAGCUUCUAAUCCUAAUGUCUAUAUUUUAAGAUUAGAUCUCAAAUCAGGUAGGACUACCCGCUGAACUUAA